AAAACCUUCAUGCCAAAUCCACACACAGUUCGAAAAGCACCCAUUCUCCUACCUAAUGAUGACCUUCCUUUCCAAAUCAUGGUUUCCAGAUUGCUCCACAGAUAUUAACUUUCCAGAUCAUCCUUUCUACAUCCUUCUAUAAAUAUCUAAUUUUGUCUUCUUUCUGAUAUUCUAGAUCUAUCCAGCUUUUGAGAUAAUUACACUUCUACCAUGUACCAUCUUUAUAUAAAGUAUUGCAUAGACCAUGGAGUUUGUUUGGGUAGUGUUGGCAGAGACGAAGACCACGGUUUCAAAUCCGCAGUCGACAUCAGUGUUCACAGGAAAUUGGUUAGCAUCAGCAAUCGUUAUCCUUCACUUCUUUCCCUAAAGCUGUCUAUUUGAAUGCGAUUGAAAUCCUAUUUUGAAUAAAUACUUUCAAUUGGAAUAGGGCUGUUUCAACCUACUUAACUAUCUAAAGUUUUUUCAUCAUUCUGUUUGUUUUUUUGAUGAUGUAGAGGAAUUAGUUUUUGAUUUCGUGAAGGUAUGUGUAUGUGUAUGUGUAUGUCUGAUACUAUAACAAUAUAUGUUAUUCACCUGCAGCCGCACUGACUACAGUUUUUGUAUCACUGUAGUCACUGAAUCAACUGGAGCAUUUUGUAUAUCUACAGCUGGAGUAAGUAGUUUUUUUUGGAAGAAACUCCAGACUUAAACUCUGUGAAUCAACUCCAGUUGCUUUAGCAGCAUCUAACUUUUUGAAUAGUAGCAGCAAUAGACAUCUUGGAUAGUGUAGACAGGAAUAAUGUUGAAAUAAAAAAACCUGCGUUUGGAAAAAGACCAUCCUGAAGACUUGACACCACUAUUUCAUCAACGUUGAUCAUAGCUUUGUCAGGAAGGCAAAGAAAAAGAAGCUUCAGCAUGCACAGAAGACCAUGGGGGAUUAUUGCACAUUGACAGGAUCACCGGUUAAUGCCAAUCUUCAUUACUGAAAGAACACAACACCAGCAACUACCUUCAAGAAGACCUGUCUGUACUACAUUUGGUCAUCAUAGCCAUAUUGAUUCGUUUGUAUCACAUGUUCCAAUCUUGCUUAUACAUGGUCUAGCAAGGAUAUACAAUUUCCUUGAAGAAAGAAGAAAUAAACAUUGCAGGCUGGUUCUGCUUUCGGUGGGUAUCCCAUCAAUACAACUCAUGCAAGCAAGUUCAUACUGUUGAAAUCAAAUGCACACCAUCUAGAAUAUUAGAUGCUUAAUUUAACCUUCAUUGUUGCUUCUGUUUGAAUAAGAUCAUUAUUGAAAUAAGUUUUUCGUUCAGAUUU